rnacentral:rRNA from 1 species
CAAUAGCGUAUAUUGAAGUUGCUGCGGUUGAAAAGCUCGUAGUUGGAUUUCUGCCAAGGACGACCGGUCCGCCCUCUGGGUGAGUAUCUGGCUUGGCCUGGGCAUCUUCUUGGAGAACGUAGCUGCACUUGACUGUGUGGUGCGGUAUCCAGGACUUUUACUUUUGAAAAAUUAGAGUGCUCAAAGCAGGCUAUUACGCCUGAAUAUUCGUGCAUGGAAUAAUAGAAUAGGAAGUCGUUUCUAUUUUGUUGGUUUCGGAAAUCGACUUAAUGAUUAAUAGGGACAGUCGGGGGCAUUUGUAUUCAAACGACAGAGGUGAAAUUCUUGGACCGUUUGAAGACAAACUACUGCGAAAGCAUUUGCCAAGAAUGUUUUCAUUAAUCAAGAACGAAAGUUAAAGGUUCGAAGACGAUUAGAUACC